AAGAAAUCAUAUUUUUAACUGUAAUAUAUUAAACUAUACAUUUCUAUAUGCUGUUAACUAUUUUUAGUUCUCUUUCUCAGCACCUGAAAGAUGACGUGGAGUUUCCUAACAGGAGAAGGACUUGGACUCAAUGUUUAGGAGAGAAAGAUGAAAACAUCAGGAUUGCUGUCCUCAAGGAUCAAAGAGACCCACAGAAAACUAGAGAUGAGACCUCUCCACAAAAAACUAUCCUAAUCCAAUGAGCCAUGCUAUGCUUUGGAUCAUGAAUGCCACAUUUCUGUUGGACCUUGAAAUCAUCUGCCAUCGCAUAUCUGACAAUCUAAAAGAACACAUCAGAUUGUCAGAAGAAACUGAAUGGACAGCACAUUUUCUUUUUUUUAGGACAGACUGAGAUGAAAACCAUUAUGAAGUUUUUGCAGACUUGCCAGGAAUGUAUGUGGGAAGAAGGAGUAAGGGAACAUGGAGAGAUAUACAGAUCUCUCCCCUUCCCCAAAAUACCAACCACAAUUGCACCAGACCUGGGGAGAGAUUGAGAGAAGAAAAGAAGGAAGGGGAAAAGGAGAAUAAAGUGGGAAAGGCACAUGGGAGGAGCCCUCUGUCCUGCAAAAAUUUAUAGCUACUGAAAUGAAAGAGCAAGAGGAACAUCCCACCCUCUCUUUCCCACCCUUCUUCCUCCCCCACCCCUCAUAAGUAUUGAGUUUAGCAAGAUAAGCUACUCAGAGAGAAAUAAACUAUGACGUUACUGAACUUCUUUGUCUUUUCCGUGGAACAUUUCCCAGCUAAAUCCCUCCAAGAGAGCAUGGAAGUGGGGAUGUGCACAGGGUGUGGCAACGAUUACAUAAUUCAGCUUCUCAAAACAAAGCAAAUCUUCACAGGCACAGACAUGCAGGUAUGUUAAAAACAAAAAAAAAGGAAA